CGACCGGUGUUAGUGAAGGCGCAACUCUAUUUCCUUAAACCCCACCAAAGGCAGCGCCACGAGUUGACUCCGACCAAGGCCUCGCCCAACUCCGGACUCCGACCUGGCCUCGCCAUGGGUUCAGGGACCCCUCAGGUAUAACCCACCUACUAACCAGGCCAUCGCCGUUGGCAGGCGGCAGGACAUGCUGACAGUGACCCUCC
rnacentral:lncRNA from 1 species